rnacentral:misc_RNA from 1 species
GAUGAAGAACGUAGCGAAAUACGAUAAGUAAUGUGAAUUGCAGAAUUCAGUGAAUCAUCGAAUCUUUGAACGCACAUUGCGCCCGCCAGUAUUCUGGCGGGCAUGCCUGUUCGAGCGUCAUUUCAACCAUCAAGCCCCCGGGCUUGUGUUGGGGACCUGCGGCUGCCGCAGGCCCUGAAAAGCAGUGGCGGGCUCGCUGUCACACCGAGCGUAGUAGAUUUUAUCUCGCUCUGGGCGUGCUGCGGGUUCCGGCCGUUAAACCACCCUUUUAACCCAAGGUUGACCUCGGAUCAGGUAGGAAGACCCGCUGAACUUAAGCAUAUCAAUAAGCGGAGGA